CGGCACGGGUGAGUAACACGUAUCCAACCUGCCGUCCACUCUUGGCCAGCCUUCUGAAAGGAAGAUUAAUCCAGGAUGGCAUCAUGAGUUCACAUGUCCGCAUGAUUAAAGGUAUUUUCCGGUAGACGAUGGGGAUGCGUUCCAUUAGAUAGUAGGCGGGGUAACGGCCCACCUAGUCAACGAUGGAUAGGGGUUCUGAGAGGAAGGUCCCCCACAUUGGAACUGAGACACGGUCCAA
rnacentral:rRNA from 1 species